GACGAACGCUGGCGGCGCGCUUAACACAUGCAAGUCGAGCGAGAACCAGACCUUCGGGUCUGGGGACAGCGGCGAACGGGUGAGUAACACGUGGGUAAUCAACCCUCGGUACUGGGAUAGCCCGGGGAAACCCGGAUUAAUACCGGAUGGCCCUUCGGAUCUUCGGUUCUGAAGGAAAAGGUAGCUUCGGCCUCCGACCGAGGACGAGCCCGCGGCGGAUUAGCUGGUUGGUGGGGUAACGGCCUACCAAGGCGACGAUCCGUAGCUGGUCGGAGAGGACGAUCAGCCAAACGGGGACUGAGACACGGCCCAGACGCCUACGGGAGGCAGCAGUGGGGAAUCUUGCGCUAAUGCGGGAAACCGUGACGCAGCGACGCCGCGUGGGGGAAGAAGGCCUUCGGGUUGUAAACCUCUUUCAGGAGGGACGAAGCUACUCGGGUUAAUAGCCCAGAGGGUGACGGUACCUCCAGAAGAAGCCCCGGCUAACUACGUGCCAGCCGCCGCCGUAACAC
rnacentral:rRNA from 1 species